CUAGUCAAUAACCCUGCUGCUUUUAACUGUAAAACCUGAUGGGAGCAGCUCGAAUGCAUUUUUUUAAAUUUAAAUUUUAAAUUUAAACAGAUUAAACUGAUCAGCAGAUCAACCUGUUGCCCCUCCAUUUGUGGCUAAUGGAAAUCUUUUGCUGUAGGUUACUAAUGUGCUCACAGCCUGAAGUACAGGCAGCUGGGAAGGCUGCAAAGUAGAUUGGCAAGAUGAUCUGGAGAAUGAAAUAUAAGAUACUCACAAACACUCCGCAGUCACCUGGAAAAUAAGUGGGCGGAGGAGGAUCUAAUACAAUUUGUGAGAAGGCAUGAAGAGGAAACUUGGUGGGUGCACUGAGAAGAAAGAAAGCCCUUUCAAAACGGCUGUCCUUUCUGUGACCUCACAGAAUGAGUUGCAGCAGCUCAGCAGGGAUAUUGACUCCAUCCUGGGAAAGCCAUGAAAUAUAAUCAG